AACAACGCUGGCGGCGUGCCUAACACAGUGCAAGUCGUACGAGAAAGUCGGCUUCGGCCGAUGAGUUACAGUGGCGCACGGGUGAGUAGCGCGUGGGUAAUCUGCCCCCCGGUCAGGAAUAACCCGCCGAAAGGCGGGCUAAUACCCGAUAACACUGACGCUCCGCGGAGCGUCUUUCAAAGAAGGCCUCUGUUUACAAGCUUUCGCCGGAGGAUGAGCCCGCGUACCAUUAGCUAGUUGGCAGGGUAAUGGCCUACCAAGGCUACGAUGGUUAGCUGGUCUGAGAGGAUUGGCCAGCCACACUGGAACUGAGACACGGUCCAGACUCCUACGGGAGGCAGCAGUGAGGAAUCUUGCGCAAUGGGGAAACCCUGACGCAGCAACGCCGCGUGAGUGAGGAAGGCCUUCAGGUCGUAAAGCUCUGUCAGAUGGGAAGAAAUGGAUGGGGGCUAAUAUCGCCCAUCCUUGACGGUACCAUCAGAGGAAGCACCGGCUAACUCCGUG
rnacentral:rRNA from 1 species